rnacentral:tRNA from 2 species
GCUAAGAUGGCAGAGCUUGGUAAUUGCAAAAGGCCUAAGCCCUUUCAACAGAGGUUCAAGUCCUCUUCUUAGCU